UACGAAGGGGGCUAGCGUUGCUCGGAAUGACUGGGCGUAAAGGGCGCGUAGGCGGCUUGCACCGUCAGAUGUGAAAUUCCUGGGCUUAACCUGGGGGCUGCAUUUGAUACGUGUGGGCUUGAGUGCGGAAGAGGGUCGUGGAAUUCCCAGUGUAGAGGUGAAAUUCGUAGAUAUUCGCAAGAACACCAGUGGCGAAGGCGGCUCACUGGCCCGAUACUGACGCUGAGACGCGAAAGCGUGGGGAGCAAACAGG
rnacentral:rRNA from 1 species